ACGGGAGCGCGCAGUGGUGGCAGCGGCCCUGUCAAAUCACAACGGCGACGACGAACACGGAGGACUUACAUAAAAAUCUUUCCAGACUCUUUGAACAGCUAAAAGUCGCUUUUAUUCGGUGCGGGGACGCUUCAGGCUGUGGAAUAUGGAAAGUUGUGACAGUUUACUGACGUCUCACGGACGUUUGCUGUAGCUAAAUCGGGGAAAAGUACUUAUUUUAGACUCAGCUAGCUUCGAGUCGUCAAGCAGCGGAGAGGACCGAGCGGCUCUGACCGACUCAUUGCCAGCUUCACUUCGCCGUUUCCCGGGGCAUGUGAGCCUCCUGUCACCGGGACCGACAGAGAAACCGGGAUAAAGCCAUUUUUCUUUUCUGUUGUUGUUGCCGGCUCCGAAGUGACCAUGAUGCCCAACACGGCGCUCUACGCGGCGAAGAAACGGAAGAAACCGGUCCAGAAAAUACCCAAACCUCAGCCUCCUGAUGGUGUCAAGACCAACCCGUCCAAACGCCACCGCGACCGUCUCAACGGCGAGCUGGACAAGCUCACCAGCCUGCUGCCCUUCACCGAGGACGUCCGGGCUCGGCUGGAUAAGCUGUCCGUCCUCCGCCUCAGCGUCGGCUUCCUGAAGGUCAAGAGCUUCUACAACGCCAUCCUGAAGGCGAGUCAGAGCAGCUCCAGCUGGACCAGCGAGCGAAGCCUGAUGUUCGGAGGAAACUCCCAGAAUGCCGCUGUGCCUCCAUCCUCCUCCUCUUCCUCCUCCUCUGUCCAGCCGCAGGCCGCCGUGGUGACGUCCAUCGAUGGAGUCAGCUUCUCUGAGGGAGACCUGCUGCUCCAGGCGCUCAACGGCUUCGUGUUGGUGGUGACGGCUGAAGGUUACGUCUUCUACACGUCUCCGACCGUCCAGGAGUUCCUGGGCUUCCACCAGUCGGACGUCAUCCAUCAGAGCGUCUUUGAGCUGAUCCACACUGACGACCGAGCUCUGUUCAGACGACAGCUUCACUUCUCCCUCAACCCCAGUCAGGACAGCAGCUCCAACCCCAGUGACCAGAGCAGCACUGAGAUCACCACCAACCUGAUCAACUACGACCCGCAGGCCAUCCCUCCAGAAAACUCGUCCUUCCUGGAGAGAAACUUCUGCUGCCGUUUCCGCUGCCUCCUCGACAACUCCUCCGGCUUCUUGGGGCUGAACUUCCGCGGCCGCCUGAGGCUCCUCCACGGCCAGAACCGGGUCUCAGACGACGGGACGCUGAUUCCCCCGCAGCUCGCUCUGUUCUCCACCGCCACGCCGCUGCAGCCGCCGUCCAUCCUGGAGAUCCGCACCAAGACGCUCCUCUUCCAGACCAAACACAAGCUGGACUUCUCUCCGCUGGGCAUCGACAGCAGAGGGAAGGUGGUUCUGGGCUACAAUGAAAUGGAGAUCUGCAUGAAGGGUUCAGGAUACAACUUCAUCCACGCCGCCGACAUGAUGUACUGCGCCGACAACCACAUCAGAAUGAUGAAAACUGGAGAAACCGGAUUCACCGCCUUCAGGCUGCUGACCAAAAACCGCUCGUGGAUCUGGGUCCACUCCAACGCCAGGGUGGUCUUCAAAGCAGGGAAGCCGGACUUCAUCGUGGCCCGACAGAGAGCUCUGACAAACGAAGAAGGAGAAGAGCAGCUUCGCCUCAGACGGCUGCAGCUUCCGUUCAGCUUCACCACCGGUGAGGCGGUUCUGUACGACACGACUCCCACCGUGGAGAUGCUCGACCCGUGCUCGGCUCCCAAGCAGAGGAAGCUGGACGACGACAACACCGUCAGCCGAGAGUCCCUGCUGGGCUGCAUGCUGAGCCAGGACCAGUCCAUCUACUGCGAGAACAACGCCAGCACCCUCAGCUCGCUCAGCGACGUGGCCUUCAGGGACACCCACGCCACCGUCAGCGUCCCCGGAGACGUGGCGCCCAAACCGGCCGUCGGAAACCUGAUGAAGGCGGAGGCGUCGAUGCAGGACAUGAUGGAUACUCUGCAGCAGAUCCUGGGGGACAACGAGCUGACGGAGACGGUGGACGUGGGUCCGGAGGAGCUGAAAACGUGGGAGAGCGCUCUGCUCAAGAUGAACUUCAGCAGCUGCGAGUUCAGCGAGGACCUCAACGACAUCAUCAGCAACGACAUCCUGACCUACGUGGAGGAGCAGCUCCAGAAGGAGGGCGGCCUCACGCUGCCCGACCAGCUGGACGACGUCCCGGCCUGCCUGUCCUCUCUGGACCUGCAGAACCAGGACCCUGAUCAGCCCGAGGAGCAGAACUUCAGCUGGCCUCUGGAGCCCCAGAACCAGCUGAUGCCGAGCGGAGGGCACGGGAUGGCGGCUCGGCCCGCUCCGGCUCUGGGAUCCAUGAAACUGAGCCACAUGGACUUCCCUCUGCUGAGCUCUGCCGGGUUAAACGGUCCGAGCCUUCAGCAGAACCUUCAGCAGAACCUUCCUGCUCCUCUACAGAUGGGCGCCAUUGGAAACAUGGGCGCUCUGGUGACUUUGAACUCCUGUCAGACUCAGAACCAGAGGAGCCUGCAGGUCAACAAGGACAGCAGCCUCGGAUCUUUCUCCCACCAGAUUCACCCCAGCCAGAUGGUCCAACCCAUGCAGAACCACCUUCAGAUGAGGAACCAGCCGCUGGGCCUCCAGGACCAGAACCGACAGUUUGAUCCUGUGUUCGGCUUCCAGGGCAGCGGGUGGAAUCCUCCGCUGUCCAACCAGGUCGACAGCUUCGUAGAAACAUUCGCCCCCAAUAUUUCAAGCAAAGCGGGUUUUUCUGCAGACCCGUCGUCGUCCGGCUGCCUGCAGGGUCACUUUGCUCUGCAGACCCAGAGCGCUGACACUCAGAGACAGUCCUGGCCUCUGGAGCAGCAGCUGCUAACAUCUGGACACCAACAGCUGUCAGGAGACGUCAGGCCGCCGUUCAGGACCGCUGAGGCCUCCGGCGCUCCGUUUCCUCCUCAGCAGGAGUCGGAGGCGUCGUCUUCAGGAAGCUGUAUGUUCGCAAACCCGGCGCCGCCCAGAAACAGAGUUCACCUCAGCCAGGCCCGGAUCAACCCGGCCACCAACCAGAUCACCUCCAAGCCCUCCUGCUUCUACGAGGCGCUGCCCCCAGGCGGCUCCAUGCCGGUGAUGGGGGCCGUCCCAAACCCCGACGAGGCGUCUCUGUCCUGUCAGAUGGCGGCUGGUCUGAACCCCAGCGGCCUCCUGGUCCAGCAGCAGCAGCACUUUGUGAACUUCAGCGAACAGACGCAGAUCAACAACCAUCCGGUCGUUGGAAACGGAAGCUUCCCGUUCUCGUCGCUGCCCAACGGGAACAGCUGCUACUCGGAGAACAAAUAAGGACGGCAGAACGUGGCUUUAACGGACACGAAAGACUCUAAAACAGAACGUGGAGCAGACUGAAGAACAAGAAUGUGCCUGAAAAGGACGAGGAGACGCAACAAGACGCCUCUCCGUCUCUUUUUAUUAUUAUUAUUAUUAUUAUUAUGAGGAAACAGUGCUGGAAGCUGUGAGAGUUCAGCUGGACAAACCAAAAACAACAGGAGAUAUCGAAGCAUUUAAACGUUUUCCCGGCAGUUUGACCAACGGAUGGGAGCUUUGAUUCUCCCGGCUGCAUCUCUUCAGACGACAAGGACGUUCAGUCGAUGUCGGCCACCAGGGGGCAGCAAUGAGCCUCUUCUACGCUUCAAAACAAACCAAUCGGAGCCACAAAACGGGACGUUUCCUGGAAAACGCAUCGGUUGGAGCUGGUUUUACACGUUUCCAAACUGGGAUUACUGGACUGAUGGACGCAGAAGUUAAAGACCCUGCGACUCAAACACCUGAUUUCUGCUACGAACGCUCAGAAGGAUAAAACAUAGUUUCUUUUUUUAUUAUUAUUAUUAUUAUCAUGGCUGUUUUUUGUCCUUUUGAAAAUGCGUCUGGACUCGGUUCAUUUCAACUCUUUGCUGACUCUCCCAGUGAGGGAGGCGUGCUUUGCAGACAGGGUAUAAAGAUGAUUUAUAAGGAAAACAGAUCAGAAGCGCACAACAAAAUGACUUCCUACUCAGUGAUUCAGUGAAAACAGCUGCUUGUUUAUAUAUUAUAAGCUUUGUCACUGAGCCAGCUUCCUUUCUCCUCUGUGUUUCUUUUUCUCUCAUAUUUCUUCUGUUGUUGCUUUUUUGUUGUUGUUGUUGUUGUUGGUGGGCGACAAAAUUCAGACGGUGCCUUACACUGAAACUGAAUGAAAAGCAUCCGAUAUCAGACAGAAACCAAAGCCAGUUUUUUUUUUUUUUGUUGCACUAGUUCUUUAAAGUGCUUGCCAAAGCAGAAUGUGCUUCCUUUAACUCCAAAUUAGUACAAAUUCAGAUGAUAACACUUCGAUUUCAACAGUUUAAACCAGGCGUGUCAAACUCAUUUUAGUUCCACUUUCAGCCCAAUCACAUUACCAGUAAAAUCACGACAUAAUAACCUAUAAAUAACCCAAAUAUUUGCUUUGUUUUAGUUCAUAAAAGUCCAUUCUGAAACUGUUCACGUUCAAUUAAUUAUCUUUUUACAAAACAUCAUGAACAACCUCAAACUUCUUAAGAAAAAUGAAUUAAAUUUCAACAACAUUCAGCCUCAGUUUGUCAUUUAUACUUUACAACUUCCACAUCACAGAGUGUCUACAGAGGAACACAACAUUUAGUCAUCUGGAGCUGAACGAUUCAGGAUUUAACUUUAUGAGCAAAACUCUGACAAAAGACAACAAAAACAAGACAAAAUAUGACAAAAACUGAGAAACAAAAAAAUUAGACAAACGGCACAACCAAGACCUAAAAAAAGCGCAAAACGACGCAAAACAAUGGACGAAGAAAAGCACAAAAUGUCAAAAAUGAGACAAAAAACACAAGCGAGACACAAAGGAAACACAAAACGACAAAAAACGAAGCAAAUGACAAAAGUCAGACAAAAAAGACAACAAAACAGCAAGUCAAAAUAUUACAAAAAUGAGACAAAAACUGAGAAACAAAAAAAUUAGACAAACGGCACAACCAAGACCAAAAAAAGCGCAAAACGACGCAAAACAAUGGACGAAGAAAAGCACAAAAUGUCAAAAAUGAGACAAAAAACACAAGCGAGACACAAAGGAAACACAAAACGACAAAAAAUGAAACAAAUGACAAAAGUCAGAGAAAAAGACAACAAAACAGCAAGUCAGACUAUUACAAAAAUGAGACACAAAAUUAGAAAAGUGAGACAAACGACAUGAAACGACACAAAAAAGGGACAAAAAAUUUGAUAAAAAAACACCAGAAAACGGUCAAAAACGAGGCAAAAAGUUACACAAACAAAAAAAAACAAGGGUCCGGAUUGGACCCUCUGGAGGCCCUGUUUUGGCCAACAGGCCACAUGUUUGACACCCCUGGGUUAAACUCAACUUACUCAUAUUUUCACAUCUUCUCCAGAUAAAAGACAAAAAAUAACUGAGCGCUGCCUUCAGAUUUCCCCUUUUUUAUGCUCGAAAAAGAAGCUAAAAGUGAAAAGCGAUGAGAUUCCACGUUUUCCACUGCAGCUUUCCGUCCACCCGCCCGGCAGCAGAAGUAAAACAGUCAAAGGCAGCUAUUGUACAUUUUAAACGAGGAAUAAAAAAUGGAAAAAAAAACUUUCAAGUGCCUUUAAAUUGACCUCCUUUUGUUUAAAGACAACAACAGGAUCGGUGGAAAAGAAACGCUGCGAGAGAAGCCUCGACUUUUUUGGACUUUUUUCUGAACAAGCAGCUCGAAUACUUGACUAAAAAAACCAAAAAACUAGUCUGGGGUGUUUCAUUCUCCAGGAUACCAAAGGGACGACACUGAACCUGCUGCUCAUUUUCACGAUUUUUUUUACGGAAACGGAACCAAAAUUCUGCAAAUAAAGAAGCCACAAACAGACCAGAAUGAUUGUAGUCGCCUCUUAAUCGUUCACUAACAGACAGAAAUAAACUGCUGGAUAUUGCUGACGUCAACAUCCAAAAUGACGGAAAUCUGUAGUUUUUUUUUUUAACUCUCCUGUCGUCCUGUGGGGGAAAUUAACGCGUUUUAAAGUUUGAAAAUGUGACGAAGAAAAAUUCUGAUGUCCACAUUUUCAACAUUUUUGGGAAAUCUUUGAAGAUUUUUUGGUUGAAAAUAAGAAAAAUGUUUCUUUAAGAACAUUCACAAAAAAAUCAACCAAAAUCCAGCGAAUUUCGCUGGAUUUUGGUUGAUUUUUUUGUGAAUGUUCUUAAAGAAAAUAUUAGAAGUUGUACUGACAUGUAUGGAAUCACUUCAGAUGCUUUUAAGGAUUUUUUGGAAGAUUUUUACUAAUUUUUUUGAAAAUAUUUACAAUUUUGAUAUUGUUUUAUUUUUAUUUGUUGGCAAAUUUGGGGAUUUUUUUUUUUUAAUAAAGCUUUUAGGGGAAACUUUUAAGGAAUUUUCUUCCUGAAGGUUUUGCAAAUUUUUUGAAAUUUGGGGAAUUAUGUAAUCACUUUAGAUAUUUUUGGGAUUUUUUUGGAAGAUUUUUGCUCAUUUUUUUAAAAGAAUAUUUACAAUUUUGAUCUUGUUUUAUUUUUAUUUCUUGCCAAAUUUGGGGAUUUUUUUUUAAAGUCUAACUUUUAAGGGAAACUUUUAAGGAAUUUUCUUCCUGAAGGUUUUGCAAAUUUUUUGAAAUUUGGGGAAUUAUGUAAUCACUUUAGAUAUUUUUGGGAUUUUUUUGGAAGAUUUUUGCUCAUUUUUUUAAAAGAAUAUUUACAAUUUUGAUCUUGUUUUAUUUUUAUUUCUUGCCAAAUUUGGGGAUUUUUUUUUAAAGUCUAACUUUUAAGGGAAACUUUUAAGGAAUUUUCUUCCUGAAGGUUUUGCAAAUUUUUUGAAAUUUGCGGAAUUAUGUAAUCACUUUAAAUAUUUUUGGGAUUUUUUUGGAAGAUUUUUACUCAUUUUUAAAAAAAAAAUAUUUACAAAUUUCAGGGAUUUUUAUGAAUAAAACUUUUAAGGGAAACUUUUAAGGAAUUAUUGGCAUUUUAUUCCUGAAGGUUUUGCAAAUUUUCAGAAAUUUGGGGGAUUUUUUUUGCUUAAUUUUUUGAUAUUUUGCAGACAAAGAAUAUUUUUUGGACAACAGGAGAGUUAAGCAAACAAAACAGUGAAAAAUGCCAAAUAUUCUCCGCUGACCGACUCUCAAAUGAAGGGAUUUGCUGUUCCAGUCAAUAUUUUCGUGUCUCACGUUAAAAUUUGCGGAAAAAAAGCAUGUCGUAUGAUGUAAGCGUGACAUCAUAAACUCUGCUUUUAUGUGAAUUUUCGUGGCAUUUCUCCGUUUUUUGGGUUUAUCUGGACUCAAAUCGUACAUAAAUAGACCCGGAUGUGUUAGAAAGUUCCCAGAAAUCAGCUUCAUGUGCAGCUCGGAUGUUGACGAGAACGACACGCGUGUAAGUCGGACUCUGACUGAGGCAUUCUGGGAAACGUAGUGAAACCACUACCAGUGUUUUACAAAAGCUUUGGCUCAGUUUUUACAGCAGCACGGUCAAACGUCGCUUCAUUCCACCUCGUCUGCAGCAGGAAUUUAAAUUAAAUAAAGCUUGUGCUACAUUUACAGGACGGAACGAUUGAUUUUGUAUGCCACAGAUCCCGUAUAUUUUUCAAGAAACACGGUAAAAUAAAUACUACUGCGCUGGAAGCCUGUAAUUAACAUUUUUACAGCUGAGAAAUGGAGUUUCACAGUCGGAGGUUAGAUUUGAGCGGAUCUACGUCCUGAAAACUGAGCCGAAGCAGCUGUAAAAUGAUCUAAAAAUUCACUCACGGAUCCCUGAACUCGUCUCUCAGCGCAAACCGAAGCAUCUUCUCCUCUUUGAAACCUUUUCUUCACUCAAUAUUCUCCCUGUAGGAAUAUAAAUAUCUUAUUUUUGUCGCUUGCUUCCUCAUUGUACAAACAUUAUCCUCUUUGAUUGGACUCCAGAAUGCAGUAUCUUUGUGCAACUGUAUAUAAAUAUAUAUAUUUGUCUUUUUUUUCAUAUAUUGUGUAUUUUAAUAUCAUAUUGCCUUAACCUGACUCACCAUUUUUUGUACAUUUUCUGCACAGCAUAAACAUACGUAACCUCCUG